rnacentral:rRNA from 1 species
UACGUAGGGACCAAGCGUUGUCCGGAAUCAUUGGGCGUAAAGCGCGCGUAGGUGGCUUCGUAAGUCCGUUGUGAAAGUCAAAGGCUCAACCUUUGAAAGCCGAUGGAUACUGCGGAGCUAGAGUACGGAAGAGGCGAGUGGAAUUCCUGGUGUAGCGGUGAAAUGCGCAGAUAUCAGGAGGAACACCGAUGGCGAAGGCAGCUCGCUGGGACGGUACUGACGCUGAGGCGCGAAAGCGUGGGGAGCAAACAGG